GUCUUUAUAAAUUUGAAUAUAAAGUUUAACCUGCCCACUGAUAAUUUUAAAGGCCGCAGUAUUUUGACUGUGCAAAGGUAGCAUAAUCAUUAGGUUUUUAAUUUGAAUCUAGAAUGAAUGGUUGGAUGAAGUAAAAGCUGUUUCUUAAAUAUUAAUUGAACUUUAUUUUUUAGUUAAAAAGCUAAAAUAAGCUGAAAAGACGAGAAGACCCUAUAGAGUUUAAUAAAAUAUUUUUAUUUAAUAAAUUUAUGUUUAAUUAAUUUAUUUUAAGGUGUAUUAUUUUAUUGGGGUGAUAUUUAAAUUUAUAAAACUUUUAAUUUAUCGUUUCAAAAAUUAUUGUAUAGUUGAUCCUUUAAUAUUGAUUAAAAAUUUAAAUUACCUUAGGGAUAACAGCAUAAUAUAUUUAUAAAGUUCUUAUUUAUAAAUUUGAUUAU
rnacentral:rRNA from 1 species